GGUCUUAUAGUCUAGUGGUUAGGACAUGGGAUUUUGACUACCAGCCACUUUCCCAGAGCCCCGGUUCGAACCCGGGUAAGACCU
rfam:Botryobasidium botryosum FD-172 SS1 unplaced genomic scaffold BOTBOscaffold_17, whole genome shotgun sequence.